GAGUGUCUGUCCCGCUGCUGAGUGGGUGCUGUGUGUCUAGGUUGCUGUGGUGUGAGCUUGUAGCGUGAACUGUCUUAGCUGAGCUUUGUCGCACGAUGCUGCAUGCUUGUGCCACACCUACACUGCCGUUUGAAGUCUUAUCCUGAAUUGAUGCUUUUGGCCUGUCACGCCUAUUCAUUUAUUGUGGGAUGUUUGCGUGUGUCUAAUAGAGAGUGUUUGUGGCUUUUGUUGGGAGUUAAGGCUAUAGAUGUCGGUGCACAUUUGCGUUGUGCGUCUCGGUGUUAUUUCACUAAGUUUUUGUCUUCUGAGCAAAGGGCGACAGGUGUAUGGAUUAACACAACCUGUCGUAAUUACGGAUUCUCGUGUGCGAAUUGGUCAGAGUAGACACAGCAAGAUUGAGGUUGAGCAACAACGGUUUAAUGGAUUCGAGAUGGAAAGCCGCGAACUUCUGCAGCUAUGCCCAGAGCGGGAAGGCUCUAUGGUUGCGUGCAGAGUGGCUUGUCUAGCAACCAUAGAGAAAGCGCCCUGGGAGGUUGUGCAUCAAAGGGAGGGGUGCGAUUUACCACACAACUUUUCUCCCGUUGUUAGCCUAGCCCCUGCUUUCAACCCUUCAGCGCUCUCCAGGACCAAUUUUGUUGUUGUUGUUUCUCAUAAAGGCAACUGGGUUUCUAACAAAC
rnacentral:lncRNA from 1 species